CCUACGGGAGGCAGCAGUGGGGAAUCUUCCACAAUGGACGAAAGUCUGAUGGAGCAACGCCGCGUGAGUGAAGAAGGUUUUCGGAUCGUAAAACUCUGUUGUAAGGGAAGAACAAGUACAGUAGUAACUGGCUGUACCUCGACGGUACCUUAUUAGAAAGCCACGGCUAACUACGUGCCAGCAGCCGCGGUAAU
rnacentral:rRNA from 1 species